rnacentral:rRNA from 1 species
UACAGAGGUCCCAAGCGUUGUUCGGAUUCAUUGGGCGUAAAGGGUGCGUAGGCGGCGCGGUAAGUCGGGUGUGAAAUCUCGGGCUUAACUCCGAACUGCAUUCGAUACUGCCGUGCUUGAGGACUGGAGAGGAGACUGGAAUUUACGGUGUAGCGGUGAAAUGCGUAGAUAUCGUAAGGAAGACCAGUGGCGAAGGCGGGUCUCUGGACAGUUCCUGACGCUGAGGCACGAAGGCCAGGGGAGCAAACGGG